rnacentral:lncRNA from 1 species
CGCAUGUAUCAUUUCUGCAAAUCAUUGCCACAGUCAUCCUCCAUCGAUAGAUAGUUUCAUCUUCUAUAUCCUUUUCUUCAUUCUCUUUUCAAAGGAAUCGAGUUGAUAUUUAAGACCUAAGACUCAGAAGGGCCAGCUAGUCACAAAUAAUGCACCAAAUCAGACAGCAAUGCAAUUCGAAUCCUAGCAAAGGAAUUUAAAUGAACCAGCCAAGUAGGUUAAAGCUCAAAAACCCUAAGGGAACCUUAAAACUCAGUGCCAAACUCUCGGCGGCGCAAUAAGCUGCUUGCUCGACAGAUUCUGAACCAAGCGAAGAGCCCACCACAUGAUAACGACAACAAAAGCGAAGAUUGAGGAAAGGAGAACAAGGGAGAAAGGAUACGGUGUCCGGGAAUGGCGAUCUCGAGCAUUGACGGCGAGGGGAUUAGCGUUGCAGAUGGACUCGACCGUGGUGAGGUCCCCGUUCCUCGCGGCGGCGUGGAGAUCGGAAGAUUCGCUGCCCCCCUUCGGUAAUCGGUUCUUCCUCCUCGAUGCCGCUCCGGGGUCUCCCAUCUCCGCGGGGUGUGCCGUCGUGGAGCUUCAAGCGACGAAGGCAGCGGUAAUGCAUACUUGAUUGAAGGCCGAGACCGUAGCAGGAUGGGCCGAGUUAAGGCCCACAAAUGGCGAGACGUACUUCGAACGAAGAUACCUUGGAUCGUUAGAAUCGGACUAGGAUUCCGAGAGACAUCGGAUCGAGC